rnacentral:rRNA from 1 species
UUUGCCCUACGGGGCGCAGCAGUGAGGAAUAUUGGUCAAUGGGCGCGAGCCUGAACCAGCCAAGUAGCGUGAAGGAUGACUGCCCUACGGGUUGUAAACUUCUUUUAUAAAGGAAUAAAACGAGGCACGUGUGCCUUUUUGCAUGUACUUUAUGAAUAAGGAUCGGCUAACUCCGCGCCAGCAGCCGCGGUAAUACGGAGGAUCCGAGCGUUAUCCGGAUUUAUUGGGUUUAAAGGGAGCGUAGAUGGGUUGUUAAGUCAGUUGUGAAAGUUUGCGGCUCAACCGUAAAAUUGCAAUUGAUACUG